ensembl:lncRNA
AAUAAAAACAACAGUGUUACCCCUUAUGUUUUUUUUCAUGACGACCAAAGAAAAACAACAGUGUUACCCCUUAUGUUUUUUUUCAUGACGACCAAUAAAAACAACAGUUGUUACCCCUUGUGGUUUUUUUCAUGACGACCAAUAAAAAACAACAGUGUUACCCCUUAUGUUUUUUUCAUGAUGACCAAAGAAAAACAACAGUGUUACCCCUUAUGUUUUUUUCCCAUGGUGACUGAUGAAAAACAACAGUGUUACCCCCAAUGUUUUAUUUGAUAAAUAUCGACAUGUUACCCCCUUAUGUUUUUAUUCAUGACGACCAAUAAAAAAACAACAGUGUUACCCCUCAUGUUUUUUUUCAUGACGACCAAUAAAAAACAACAGUGUUACCCCUUAUGUUUUUUUUCAUGACGACUAAUAAAAAACAACAGUUACCCCUUAUGUUUUUUUUCAUGACGACCAAUAAAAAACAACAGUGUUACCCCUUGUGUUUUUUUUCCCAUGGUGACUGAUGAAAAACAACAGUGUUACCCCUUAUAUUUUUUUUGUCACGGACAAUUUUUUUCCUUUUUUCAAAUAUGUUUUUUUUCAUGGCGACCAAUAAAAUACGACAGUGUUAGCCCUUAUAUUUUAUUUGACAAAGACAAUAGUGUUACCCCUUAUGUUUUUUUUCAUGACGACCAAUAAAAAACAACAGUGUUACCCCUUAUGUUUUUUUCAUGACGACCAAAGAAAAACAACAGUGUUUCCCCUUGUGUUUUUUUCAUGAC